rnacentral:misc_RNA from 1 species
UAUUCUCAACCCUUCAGUGUUUUUUAUUAAGCACGGUUGGGCUUGGACUUGGAGGCUUUUGCUGGUGUUUAGAUUAAUUUAUUAGUCUUGGACGUCGGCUCCUCUGAAAUGCAUUAGCUUGAAUGAAACCAAGCAUGAUUCAGCGUGAUAAUUGUCUAGCUGCUUCGUCUCGGUGAAUAAUAUUCUAGCUUCAAACCGUCCCUUGGGACAACUUCUGAAA